GUAUUCCCUCUGAUAUUUUUCCUCUGUCUCAGACCCAUAUCCCAAAUGACCCCAAACCCCAAAUGACCCCAAACCCCUCUCUCUCCUCUCAGACCCCGUACCCCUCUCUCUCCUCUCAAACCCCAAACCCCGAACUUCUAACCUCUGUAAGUCUCCCUCUCUCUUCUCUCAGACCUCAAACCCCAAACCUCUGUAAGUCUCCCUCUCUCUUCUCUUAGACCGAUCAUCCUCUCGAGCAACGGAGACCUCCGAUCAUCCUCUCGGCAGCUCCAUCCUCUCGGGCAGCUCCAUUGUAGGCGGCGUCCCCACCUCUCCGAUCAUCGUAGGCGGCAGCUGACCAGAGUGAGUUGGAAAGAACAUAAGCAAGAAUAAGUGUUGCUGCUUCCUUAAAUUUCCCAGCCUUCUCAAGAAAAUCUAUCACAACUAGUUUAUCUCCUCUGAGGUAUUGUGUUGAUGCUGUGCAUUACAAAAAUGAAGAUGUGAUCAAACUUUUAGAGGAACAUGGUGCAAAGCCUCCGAUGGCUCAUCACAUGCACGUUAAAAAUGCACGCGAAGUCCCCGAGUAUGAGAUCGAUCCCAAGGAGCUUGUUUUAUCUCAGAAAAUGAUAACCAAGGAUAUCUUGGAGUGGAGCGCUAAGUGGCAGAUUGCGCCUUUCGGUGGCGAAGGGAGGCUUUGUUUGUAGAUUGGAGCUAUUGGUGACAGACUGCAGUGGUUGGUGAUGAAUAUAGAGACUUUGCAAACUCUUGUUAAGUGUUUCAGGAACUAAAGAGAAAGGGCUGCUGCACUCAAGUCACUUCAACAUAAACUUGAGAAAUACAAGACAGAGUUGACAAAUCAUAUAAGAAUACUCGAGUAUACUUAUAACUUGUUCAUGUUGCACAGAACUAAUUACUUAUAAAUUGAGAUUAUAUUUGUACCAAUAUGAUGAAAUAUAUUUUGAUUAAGUUUGUAAUUUUUGUCUUUGUAAUAUGUAAAUUUGGUUUAUUUUUUGAUUGUUGACUGUUGUUGGUGUAAUAAAUUUAUAAAAUUGUUGAAUAAAAAGGUUUAUAAGUUUAUUUCUUUUA